rnacentral:rRNA from 1 species
AAUAUUGGGCAAUGGGGGAAACCCUGACCCAGCAACGCCGCGUGAAGGAAGAAGGCCUUCGGGUUGUAAACCUCUGUGACAGGGGACGAACACAAUGACGGUACCCUGAGAGGAAGCCACGGCAAACUACGUGCCAGCAGCCGGGGUAAUACUGAGGUGACGAGCGUUGGCCGGAAUCACUGGGCGUAAAGGGCGCGUAGGCGGCGAUGCAAGUCGCAUGUGAAAUACCAGGGCUCAACCUUGGGGGUGCAUGCGAAACUGUGUUGCUUGAGUGCAGUAGAGGUAAGCCGAAUUCCUGGUGUAGCGGUAAAAUGCGUAGAGAUCAGGAGGAACACCGGUGGCGAAGGCGGCUACCUGGACUGAUACUGACACUGAGGUGCGAAAGCGUGGGGAGCAAACAGG